AGCGGCCCCCCUGGUCCCAGGGGCAACAGCAUUGACCCUGAGUGCUCCUGGCAGCAAAGGAGAGCCUGGCCCCACUGGUAUUCAAGGCCCCCUGGCCCUGCUGGAGAAGAGGGCAAGAGAGGAGUCCAAGGUGAACCUGGACCUACUGGCCUGCCUGGACUCCCUGGCGAGUGUUGUGGACCGGGUGCUGCUGGAGAGCCUGGCAAAACUGGAGAGCGAGGUGUUCCUGGACCUCCGGCACUGUCGGUCCUGCUGGCAAAGAUGGAGAAGCUGGAGGUCAGGGACCCCCUGGACUUACAAGCCCCACUGCAGGCAAACCCAGUGACCCUGGUGCUCCUGGCCCCUGUGGAGCAAGAGGCAAGAGAGGUUUCCCCAGCGAGCAUGGUGAGCCUGAGCUCCCUGGCCCAGCUGGCUUCGCUGCCCCCCCCCCACCCCCCCCCCCCCCCCCCCCGGUGCUAAUGACCAACCUGGUGCUGAAGGUUAUCCUGGCACUGCUGGUGCUAAAGGUGUUUAAUCUCUGAGGUGAUUGGGAAAAUCAUGUUAACCAGAGCAGCAUUGGCUUUCAGCCCUCCCAACAGAAAAGGGACAGUUAGCCCGGUGUUUUACUCCUUCCCUAGGCAGGCCUACGCCCUGUCUCAGCAGGAAGUAGUUACCGAAGGGUCACCACCCCAUAUCCCCUUUAGGCAUAAAGGGGUAAAACACCUGGAGGGGGGAAUGAUAGGGAUGGAGUAGGCCAGUAGUUGUAGAAGUCCCAAUAAAGGAUCAUAGAUAGAAGAAAAUCUAGGGGACUUUGGGAGAAUGCUGUAAGUUAAGAAAUUGCUCAAAAAAGCCAUCAGAACAAGGCAGGAUUGCUGAGUGGAAGUGCGAGAAUUACCUCGAGUCAGGUCGGGGUGGGAUGAGGCCUGCAUUCAGGUUCAGACCAAGGGCAGGAAUUUGAGGACCACCCUUCUGCUAAUUUGAAUACAUACCUUACCGGAUACUUAGGAGAAUCUGCUACUCCCAGAAAGGAAGAGGUGGGCUUUUCCAAUCCCUACUCCCCCUGGAUGAUAGAACUGUAGCCCACCGGAUCCUUGGGGCAGAGCUUCUGCACCUGUCCGCUUGCAUCUCUCGCAAGCGUCCUAUCUGAAUAAAUCUAUUUCUUGCCUAUCAAUCACUUUGUCUCUUGCUGAACUGAUUCUGUGCAGAGGCAUGAAGAACCUGAACCUCAGUAAGUCCAGACACAGGGUGAGUGAUUCUAAUUUAAAACUGUGGGUUUGGGAGUUCCCAUCGUGGCUCCAUGGUGAAUGAAUCUGACUAGGAACAAUGAGGUUGCCGGUUCGAUCCCUGGCCUCACUCAGUGGGUUAAGGAUCCGGUGUCGCUGUGAGGUGUGGUGUAGGUCAUAGACCUGGCUUGGAUCCCGCGUUGCUGUGGCUCUGGCAUAGCCCGGUGGCUAUAGCUCCGAUUAGACCCCUAGCCUGGGAACCUCCAUAUGCCACAAGUUCGGCCCUAGAAAAGACAAAAAGUUUAUAAAUUAAUAAAUUAAUUAAUUAAUUAAAUGGUGGGUUUAAGUCCCAAUGUGGGUUUAGGCUGAGUUUGAGUCCUGGCACAUGGGUUCAAGUCCCAAAUCUGGGUUCUGGAUAGGCCUAGGCCGUUAGUGCUGUCGGUUUCACAAGUGCUGUCAUUCUAGGCAAUGACCCAGCUGACCACCAUCAUGAUGCUGCCAAGAUCCCUGAGGUCAGCUUUGAUGACCAAGAUUCCCCCAAAGAAUGCAUGCCUGCCCCAAUCCUGAUUCCUAUCUGAAAACCUGUUUUUCUCCUUUUUCCUAUAAAACUCCCUGAAAUUCUUCCCAAAGGAGGGCACAGUCUUAGCCUGUGUGACCCUCCUUUGCCUGGAAAAGCAAUAAAAACUAUCUUUUUCUCCUUUACCCAAAACUCUGUCUCUCCAUUUCAGAAUUCAGCACUGGUAGACAGAAACUGAAUUUUGGCAACAAAUUUGGGGAGCUCAUCCAGGAUCUGCCUGUGGGUAGGUGGCCCCGCAGGGCUCUCAGCUUGAUCAGACACUCUAAGGUUUCUCUCCAUGCCAGUCUCCCUUGGGGCGAGGGGAGUGGUGGAGCACUCUUCUCUGAGGCCAGAUCGCUGAGUUUCCUGCCGCAGGGCGGAGCUGGGUGCUGAGCAGACCUGACUGGCCAUCUCGGAUGUUGGAACUCCUGGAAAAGUGGUCGGAAGGCAAGGGCCACCCCAGUAGCUGCUGAGGGUCCACUGGCCUUGGGGAACUCCUUCUUUUCCCUCUGCUCCUGCUGACCUGAACUUCCCACUUCCAGAAGCCUUUUUGGGAAGGAGAAAAAUAGUGUCUGGGACAUUGUGACUCCUCUGCCAGCAUCUGGGUAACUCCCCCGGGGUGCACUCCAAGGCCCCUUGGACCUUGUCCAUCUGGGGAACCUUUGGCUCCCGUUUGGGGAUUUUCCUUUUGGGAGAUAGAUCCCACUUGUAAUUUUCUGGCUCCCCUUUGGCUGGCGAGGAUUCGGGUUUUGCUUCAGGUUUUGUGCACGCAUAUUUAAUCCAUCUGAUGAUACCCUAGGAGAGGUUUUAAUAGAGUUCCUAGCCUAACCCUCAGUUUUAUGAGCUAAGGAAAAACAAAGCCAAUCUGGGGAACAUCUCUGAAAUUCCAUUAGGCAGUCCUCUGGGGAAGAUCAUAGGCGACUAUAUCUGGGAACCAAUGACUAAGAUACCACAGCUUUCUUGGUUGAAGAUACUGAGGGGUCUGGGCUGAGUGUUUAGGUAAGAGACUGAUCUGGCACUUUUCCUCAAUUCUGCUGUCUUGAUGGAAUUUGUCAGGGUGAAGAUGAAAGUAUUACAUUCUUGUCCCCAAAGAAAAGGGACAAGGAGUUCCCAUCGUGGCUUAGUGGUUAAUGAGUCUGACUAGGAACCACGAGGUUGCAGGUUCGAUCCCUGGCCUUGCUCAGCGGGUUAAGGAUCUGGCAUUGACAUGAGCUGUGGUGUAGGUCGCAGAUGUGGCUCAGAUCCCGAGUUGCUGUGGCUCUGGC
rnacentral:lncRNA from 1 species